rnacentral:piRNA from 1 species
UAGAAGUGUCUAUUAUAUUAAUGACAGUUGGU